CACAUGAAUCACAGCACGCUGAAAAUAGAAUGGUAUUUCGGGUUCGCCAGACGACUUAUGAUUAUAUAAUAUUACGUCAUCAGGCAGUAACGUAAUAUUAUGGUCAAUAGAUGGCGUUGCAUAACACAGGACCGACUAGACUGCACUCCAUAGCGACAGGUUCAGGUGUGCAGACAAAAUAUCCUUACAUGAUGAGUACACAACCAAGUGAAUCCAAGUGAAUCUUUUUGGGAGGCAAAUGAGUAAUUAUACUACUUAUAAAGGAAUUUGAACUGUAGGGACCCUACUUAUGUCCAAGGGAUGACACAUCCACUGUCAUGUUACCAGAGAGUUUCUUGUAAAACAAGGUCCAGUACCCAUUGAUUUGUACAGGUAAGAUUUUGACCCGCUUACGUCAGGUUAACUUUUACCUGUAUGAACCUAAUGGAGGACGGACCACUUGUUGCAGGGACCGUCAGUUUUUUAACACCGACUUCAGUGGAGAUCGAUACUCGCAUUUGGCUUAUUGCAGCCGCCUGGGAUGCCAAUUUAUUCUAAGAACUGAAGUUCGAAUCACUACGUCACAUCAGUCACUUGACUUUGCAGUGUUGAAAUAUUGCUCAUUUUGAGCAAAAAAAA